rnacentral:rRNA from 1 species
UACGGAGGGUGCAAGCGUUAAUCGGAAUUACUGGGCGCAAAGCGUGCGCAGGCGGCUUGUUAAGUCUGUUGUGAAAUCCCCGAGCUCAACUUGGGAAUUGCAAUGGAUACUGGCAGGCUGGAGUAUGGUAGAGGAAGGUGGAAUUCCCGGUGUAGCAGUGAAAUGCGUAGAGAUCGGGAGGAACACCAGUGGCGAAGGCGGCCUUCUGGACCAAUACUGACGCUCAUGCACGAAAGCGUGGGGAGCAAACAGG